rnacentral:tRNA from 1 species
GAUGAUGUAACUCAGUGGUAGAGUACUUGCUUAGUAUGCAAAAGGCCCUAGGUUCAAUCCCAUUACCA